rnacentral:rRNA from 1 species
AUUGAACGCUGGCGGCAGGCCUAACACAUGCAAGUCGAACGAGUGGCGGACGGGUGAGUAAGGUCUGGGAAAAUGCCUGAUGGAGGGGGAUAACUACUGGAAACGGUUGCUACUACCGCCUACCAUCGGAUGUGCCCAGAUGGGAUUAGCGUGUUGGUGGGGUAACGGCUCACCAAGGCGACGAUCCCUAGCUGGUCUGAGAGGAUGAACAGCCACACUGGAACUGAGACACGGUCCAGACUCCUACGGGAGGCAGCAGUGGGGAAUAUUGCACAAUGGGCGCAAGCCUGAUACAGCCAUGCCGCGUGUAUGAAGAAGGCCUUCGGGUUGUAAAGUACUUUCAGCGGGGAGGCGUUACCCGCAGAAGAAGCACCGGCUAACUCCGUGCCAGCAGCCGCGGUAAUAC